GGUUCCUUUUAGUGGAUUCUGAAUGAAUAGUCUUAUGACAGAAGCAGAGCCUUUUCUUAUUGGCUGGGUAGACACUGUGAAAUACCACUAUGAGUGCUGGAGAAAAGAGGGACAACCAUAUGACACAAGUAGCUCUCAUGGCUGGAGAUUGCAGGUCUAUGACUGAUCCUAAUUAGGAAGAAUAAUGAUGACAUCCAUUCAAGUUUUAUUUAUGUUCUUGUGGCUGCAGCUGAACUGUGUAAGUGGAGAAGAGAAUGCGGGGCUGCGUCCUCCUACCCUGAGUGUCCAGGAAGGAGACACCUCUGUUAUCAACUGUUCUUAUUCAGACAGUGCCUCAAUCUACUUCCCUUGGUAUAAGCAAGAGCUUGGAAAAGGUCCUCAAUUCAUCAUAGACAUUCGUUCAAAUAUGGACAAAAAGCAAGAACAAAGAUUCACCGUUUUAUUGAAUAAGACGGCCAAGCAUCUCUCCCUGCACAUUGCAGGUACCCGACCUGGAGACUCAGCUGUCUACUUCUGUGCAGAGAGUACACAUUGCGUCCCAGGCACCUGUAACCUAUACCCAAACCUGAGACUGGAGCUGAAGCCACACUGCCUUUCCUUUGGCAUAGACCUUCAAUUUACAUAGUAUAAAGUGAAUAGUUAGAUGAAGAGAUGCAUAGGGCAAGGUAUCAGGGAAGAGGAACCAAACUUCCAUGCCCUCUCUGGCCAUGUCACCCUCCCUGUGUUUGGCAAUCCGGAAAUUCCAUGUAAUGGAUUCUUGGAGGGAAUUAGUGAAGUUUUACUUUGUAUUCCAGGCUUUAAAGAUGACUUUACCUUUGCUAUUCAGACUCCUCUUCUAUAAAGAACCCCUUAGUAUCAUUAUCACAGUUCCUAUGACAGAUGGACUUUUUAACUCUUACGUUUCAAAAAUUGCUUUUGUUAUUGUUUUCUGAUUAUAAAACAUUACAUGCUAAAUAUGGAAAAUAAGAAAUUGA